rnacentral:rRNA from 1 species
UACGGAGGGUGCAAGCGUUGUCCGGAAUCAUUGGGCGUAAAGCGCACGUAGGCGGUUCUUUAAGUCUCUUGGUGAAAGGCUGGGGCUCAACCCCAUGCAUGCCGGGGAUACUGGAGGACUGGAGACAGGUAGAGGCCAGCGGAAUUCCGGGUGUAGCGGUGGAAUGCGUAGAGAUCCGGAAGAACACCGGAGGCGAAGGCGGCUGGCUGGACCUGAUCUGACGCUGAGGUGCGAAAGCGUGGGGAGCAAACAGG